rnacentral:rRNA from 1 species
CUACGGGAGGCUGCAGUGGGGAAUAUUGCACAAUGGGCGCAAGCCUGAUGCAGCCAUGCCGCGUGUAUGAAGAAGGCCUUCGGGUUGUAAAGUACUUUCAGCGGGGAGGAAGGGAGUAAAGUUAAUACCUUUGCUCAUUGACGUUACCCGCAGAAGAAGCACCGGCUAAGUCCGUGCCAGCAGCCGCGGUAAUACGGAGGGUGCAAGCGUUAAUCGGAAUUACUGGGCGUAAAGCGCACGCAGGCGGUUUGUUAAGUCAGAUGUGAAAUCCCCGGGCUCAACCUGGGAACUGCAUCUGAUACUGGCAAGCGUGAGUCUCGUAGAGGGGGGUAGAAUUCCAGGUGUAGUGGUGAAAUGCGUAGAGAUCUGGAGGAAUACCGGUGGCGAAGGCGGCCCCCUGGACGAAGACUGACGCUCAGGUGCGAAAGCGUGGGGAGCAAACAGGAUUAGAUACCCUCGUAGUC